GAUGUGCGAUGCAUUUGCCUCUUCCUCUUCCGCUUCCUUCCUGUGGCCACUGUGAUUGUGUGACGUGGUCGUUGCGGGCGUAUGAUCCUCUUCGCUCAGAGCGCGACCGGCUGCCGGGCCGUGGGGAUGUGUCGCCCCACUGGUAGUUUUUCCUGGAGAUGCUCAUCUGCCCUUUCGCUGAGUGAUUAACCCGUGACAGGAGCUGGCUGUCUUCUGCCUCUUUCCGGCGUGGCCGUAGCCUUGCGGAACGAGGCGAGGGUAAACUGCCGGCAACUACCAGUCACUCCUCCCUGGGUCUGCGCUGCCGUUUUGGCUCUACUACCGUUUUGGCUCUACUACCGUUUUGGCUCCAUUAUUGUAUCGGCUGUAUUGCUGUUUUGGCCUGAUGUGGAGUUUGUUCCUUCCUUUUCUCCUGUGUUGUUUUUUUCCUUUAUUGUAUUGAUGAGUUUAUUAUAUUGUCUUUAUCUUUUUUCUUUCUUUAGGUCAAUGU